GACGUAGGGCGCGAGCGUUGUCCGGAUUUAUUGGGCGUAAAGAGCUCGUAGGCGGCUUGUCGCGUCGACUGUGAAAACCCGCAGCUCAACUGUGGGCUUGCAGCUGAUACGGGCGGGCUGGAGUUCGGUAGGGGAGACUGGAAUUCCUGGUGUAGCGGUGAAAUGCGCAGAUAUCAGGAGGAACACCGGUGGCGAAGGCGGGUCUCUGGGCCGAUACUGACGCUGAGGAGCGAAAGCGUGGGGGAGCGAACAGG
rnacentral:rRNA from 1 species